AUUGAACGCUGGCGGCAGGCCUAACACAUGCAAGUCGAGCGAGAGGCGGACGGGUGAGUAAUGUAUGGGGAUCUGCCCGAUAGAGGGGGAUAACUAAUGGAAAAGGGGGCUAAUACAGCAUACUAUCGGAUGAAACCAUAUGGGAUUGUCUAGUAGGUGGGGUAAAGGCUCAACUAGGCGACGAUCCCUAGCUGGUCUGAGAGGAUGAUCAGCCACACUGGAACUGAGACACGGCCCAGACGCCUACGUGAGGCAGCAGUGGGGAAUAUUGCACAAUGGGCGCAAGCCUGAUGCAGCCAUGCCGCGUGUAUGAAGAAGGCCUUCGGGUUGUAAAGUACUUUCAGCGGGGAGGCGUUACUCGCAGAAGAAGCACCGGCUAACUCCGUGCCAGCAGCCGCGGUAAUUC
rnacentral:rRNA from 1 species